rnacentral:siRNA from 1 species
AGUGCCGCUCACGCCCGGUC